GAUGAACGCUGGCGGCGUGCCUAAUACAUGCAAGUCGAGCGAACAGACCAGGAGCUUGCUCCUCUGACGUUAGCGGCGGACGGGUGAGUAACACGUGGACAACCUACCUAUAAGACUGGGAUAACUUCGGGAAACCGGAGCUAAUACCGGAUAAUAUAUUGAACCGCAUGGUUCAAUAGUGAAAGACGGUUUUGCUGUCACUUAUAGAUGGAUCCGCGCCGCAUUAGCUAGUUGGUGAGGUAACGGCUUACCAAGGCAACGAGGGGUAGACGACCCCAGGGGGUGGUCGACCACACUGGCUCUGAGACACAGUACACACUCCGACAGGAGGAAACGGUAGGGACUCUUCCGCGAUGGGGGAAAGCCUGACGGAGGAACGCCGCGUGAGUGAUGAAGGACUUCGGACCGUAAAACGCUGUUAGUAUGGAAGAACAAAUGUGUAAGUAACUAUGCACGUCUUGACGGUACCGGGUCAGAAAGCCACGGCUAACUACGUG
rnacentral:rRNA from 1 species